UGGCCACCGUGGCCGCUCAGGCUGAGGCACGGCCACACCACCUGCCAGUGUUGGCAAGCCGUAGCUGCACUACAGUCUCACAGCCGCCACCUCAGGCACCACAGGAGAAGUGGGACUUGAAAACGCAUUACUGGAAGAUGAGAUGACCUCAGGGGGCUUCUUUCAUGCAGAAGAGGAUGCCAUGGAGCAACUUACAGGAGGGAAAGGAGAGAAUAAGGCUUCAGGAACCCUGCGGUUUCAAAUACUUCCAUGAUGGCUGCCAACAAGAGGGGAAGGACAAGAGGGAAGAAUCUCAUAAAAU